UAUGGCGAUAUCACGUUGAAAGACCGCUUCUCAUGUGAUCGCCGAAGUUAAGCAACAUCGAGCCUGGUCAAUAACUAGAUGGUUGGCCGCUUGAGAAUACCAGGUGCUGUAA